UACGUAGGGCGCAAGCGUUGUCCGGAAUUAUUGGGCGUAAAGAGCUCGUAGGCGGUUUGUCGCGUCUGCUGUGAAAACUCGAGGCUCAACCUCGGGCUUGCAGUGGGUACGGGCAGACUAGAGUGCGGUAGGGGUGACUGGAAUUCCUGGUGUAGCGGUGGAAUGCGCAGAUAUCAGGAGGAACACCGGUGGCGAAGGCGGGUCUCUGGGCAACAACUGACGCUGAGGGGCGAAAGCGUGGGGAGCGAACAGG
rnacentral:rRNA from 1 species